GUCAGUGUGGUGUAGUGGUUUGAACACUGGACUAUGACUCUAGAGAUCAGGGUUCAAAUCCCAGCUCAGUCA
rnacentral:tRNA from 1 species